rnacentral:rRNA from 1 species
GACGAACGCUGGCGGCGUGCCUAAUACAUGCAAGUCGAGCGGACCGAAGGGAGCUUGCUCCUUUAGGUUAGCGGCGGACGGGUGAGUAACGCGUGAGCAACCUGCCUUACAGAGGGGAACAACAUUGGGAAACCGAUGCUAAUACCGCAUAACAUAUAUUUAUCGCAUGGUAGAUAUAUCAAAGGAGCAAUCCGCUGUAAGAUGGGCUCGCGUCUGGUUAGAUAGUUGGUGAGGUAACGGCUCACCAAGUCGACGAUCAGUAGCCGGACUGAGAGGUCGAACGGCCACAUUGGGACUGAGACACGGCCCAG